AACUUGCCUCUUGGUCUGGGACAACUGUUGGAAACGACAGCUAAUACCGGAUAUUAUGAGAUUCUCGCAUGGGAAACUUAUGAAAGCUAUAUGCGCCAAGAGAGAGCCUUGCGUUCCAUUAGCUAGUUGGUGGGGUAACGGCCCACCAAGGCGACGAUGGAUAGCCGGCCUGAGAGGGUGAACGGCCACAAGGGGACUGAGACACGGCCCUUACUCCUACGGGAGGCAGCAGUGGGGAAUAUUGGACAAUGGACCAAAAGUCUGAUCCAGCAAUUCUGUGUGCACGAUGAAGGUCUUCGGAUUGUAAAGUGCUUUCAGUUGGGAAGAAGCAAGUGACGGUACCAACAGAAGAAGCGACGGCUAAAUACGUGCCAGCAGCCGCGGUAAUACGUAUGUCGCAAGCGUUAUCCGGAUUUAUUGGGCGUAAAGCGCGUCUAGGCGGAAAAAUAAGUCUGAUGUUAAAAUGCGGGGCUCAACUCCGUAUUGCGUUGGAAACUGUUUUUCUAGAGUACUGGAGAGGUGGGCGGAACUACAAGUGUAGAGGUG
rnacentral:rRNA from 1 species